UAAGGGCUAAAAGAAGGCAACGGAACGGAACCUGAGGAUGAAAAAAUGAGAAAAAUUGUUAAUACAUAGGAGAAAGAAAUAGAACAGAGGAAAAAAAUACAUAGAGAAUGAAUGGCUUUUGUGGGUUUUAUCCUAAUGUGAUAUGAUCCUUCAGCUGUAUUUUGCAUUCUUCCAAUCACCGCAUCUCUCUUUUCUGAACUUGAGGUGUUGUCAGCCUUGGGCCCUGCAAACUUCAUAAGCAAGUCAGAGUUUCAGGGAAUCAAACAAGUCAAGGCAUCAUUUUAUUACCAAGGAGUCUUUGAAAGUAAGCCAGGCAUUUCCUGUAAUUUAAGGCAGAAAGUCCCACUUAUUACUGUAUUUAAUUUGAAUGCCUGAAGCUUACUUCCUGUCACCACAGCACCAGCAGGCAAAGAAACCCAAACAGCAUGACCAUAAUGAGGUGAUUUUUCUACUUUUGGUAAAGUUAGUUGGUGUCAGAAAAUAAAGAAGCAAUCUUAUAUUUAUUAAUUCUCCAUCCUUGUUGCAAGAAAUCCUCUGAUAUUCCCCGUGGUGGGUACGCGAAUUCUUCACAAAAUAUAUUUGUACCGAAUUUAGUGUGAAUUGGAGUUUUAUAAUUCAACUUCUCAAUGGUUUAUUUAUCAGUUAAGUUUUCAUCAGAAACAAGCUAUAG
rnacentral:lncRNA from 1 species